rnacentral:rRNA from 1 species
UGAGUUUGAUCCUGGCUCAGGAUGAACGCUUGCAAUAUACUUAACACAUGCUAGUCGAAUGCGUAAGCAUGGCGAACGGGUGAGUAACACAUAAGAAUUUACCUUAAAUUAAAGAAUAACCAUAUUUCAUAUGAAAGAAUAUUUUCGGAUAGUGAUAAUUCUUUUUUAAAAGUAUAACACUGAUUUAAGAUAAGCUUGUGCAAGAUUAGGUUGUUGGUGAGGUAAAGGCUCACCAAGCCGAAGAUCUUUAGUUGAUCUGAGAGGAUGAUCAGCCACACUGGGACUGAGAUAAGGCCCAGGCUUUAAGCCAGCAGUGAGGAAUUUUGGACAAUGAGCGAAAGCUUGAUCCAGUAAUAUUGCGUGAAUGAGGAAAGCAAAAAAGAUUUAUAAAUUUUUAAUUUAUAAAUCGGCUGUAAAAUUAUUUCACUAAUAAAGAUAAUGACUUUAGUUAGAGAAGAAACCCCGGCUAAUCUCGUGCCAGCAGCCGCGGUAAUACGAGAGGGGUUAGCGUUAUCCGGAAUAAUUGGGCGUAAAGGCUUCGUAGGCGGUAAUUGUUGUUAUAAGUCAAACUUUAAUUUUAUUUUUUAAACUUGCUUAUAAAACUCUAUUACUAGAGUAUAGUAGAGGAUAACAGAAUUUCAUACAUAGGGGUAAAAUCCAAUAAUUUAUGAAGGAAUGUCAGCGGCGAAAGCGGUUAUCUGGGCUAUUUUACUGACGCUGAGGAACGAAAGUGUAGGGAGCAAACAGGAUUAGAUACCCUGGUAGUCUACACUGUCAAAGAUGAGUGUUAAUGUUGGGUAUUUUAUAUCUGGCAUAAAGCUAACGCGUUAAACACUCCGCCUGGGAAGUACGAUCGCAAGAUUGGAACUCAAAGGAAUUGACGGGGGUCUACACAAGUGGUGGAGCAUGUGGUUUAAUGCGAUAACACGCGCAAAACCUUACCAAUUUUUGAAUAUAAUUUUGUAAAAGAUUUAUACCUUUUAUUAUUAAAAAUUUAAUUUUUAUUAUAUUUAAAAUAAAAUUAUACAGGUGUUGCAUGGCUGUCGUCAGCUCGUGCCGUGAGGUGUUUGGUUAAGUCCUUUAACGAGCGCAACUCUUGAUUUAUGUUGGUCUUUUUUUAUAGCAAUAUAUUAAAACCACUUUUAAAUUACAGCUAGUGAUAAACUAGAGGAAGGAGAGAAUGAAGUCAAGCCCUUAUGGCCCUUAUAAAUUGGGCUACACACGUGCUACAAUGAUUAGUACAAAAAGUUAUACAAAAAAGCAAUUUUGAGUAAAUCUUUAAAACUUAUCGUGUUCGGAUUAAAGGCUGCAAUUCGCCUUUAUGAAGUCGGAAUCACAAGUAAUCGUAGAUCAGCAUGCUACGGUGAAUUUGUACUUAGACCUUGUACACACCGCCCGUCACAUGCUGGGAAUGAGUUUUGUUUGAAAAUAAUUAACUAUAGUAAGAUACA